GUAACAAGGUUUCCGUAGGUGAACCUGCGGAAGGAUCAUUACUGAGUGAGGGCCCUCUGGGUCCAACCUCCCACCCGUGUUUAUUGUACCUUGUUGCUUCGGUGCGCCCGCCUCACGGCCGCCGGGGGGCUUCUGCCCCCGGGUCCGCGCGCACCGGAGACACUAUUGAACUCUGUCUGAAGAUUGCAGUCUGAGCAUAAACUAAAUAAGUUAAAACUUUCAACAACGGAUCUCUUGGUUCCGGCAUCGAUGAAGAACGCAGCGAAAUGCGAUAACUAAUGUGAAUUGCAGAAUUCAGUGAAUCAUCGAGUCUUUGAACGCACAUUGCGCCCCCUGGUAUUCCGGGGGGCAUGCCUGUCCGAGCGUCAUUGCUGCCCUCAAGCACGGCUUGUGUGUUGGGCUCCGUCCCCCCGGGGACGGGUCCGAAAGGCAGCGGCGGCACCGAGUCCGGUCCUCGAGCGUAUGGGGCUUUGUCACCCGCUCUGUAGGCCCGGCCGGCGCCAGCCGACAACCAAUCAUCCUUUUUUCAGGUUGACCUCGGAUCAGGUAGGGAUACCCGCUGAACCUAAGCAUAUCA
rnacentral:misc_RNA from 1 species